rnacentral:rRNA from 1 species
AUGCCCCGUCGCCAGAUCCGGUGGCCCACGCUGCCCCUCCGCCUACCAGCAGGCGCGGCCUCCCCGUCCACUCGACGGCUACCACGGGAUGGCUGGCGGUCUCCCAUGGCCUUCUCCCACCUCUGUACUCGCCGGCCGCCGCACCCACAAGCCAUCGGUGGCGGUACCGUGCAGUCCACUGCAUUUGUGCACACAGCACACCCAUUCUGCAGGCUGAAGAACUUGCAACAUUCUACUUGUCGUCCAGGACUUGAACGCGAGGACGCAGAUGUACAAGGCGGAAACUCCGACGUAGGUCACGCUGACCGCCUACAAGGACAAUACCUUCGAGUUUGUGGUGAAGUCGCCGUCGGUCUCAUGGUUCCUCAAGAAGGCGGCGGGCAUCGAGACGGCGAGCAGCCGGCCGGGCCACAACAUCAUCAUGGUGACGUCCCUCUCGCUCUGGCAUGUGUACGAGAUCGCCAAGCUGAAGCAGGCCGACCCGUUCUGCAAGCACAUGUCUGCUCGAGGCCCUGUGCAAGUAAGUCCAUCAUCGGCACGGCCAAGUCCAUGGGCAUCUAA